ensembl:lncRNA
GAACAAAUGUUCAAUACUAAUGUACAAUGGUAAACAAGAGAAUUGGUUGUGGAGUAUAUGAAAACACUCUUCACAAUUAUCGUGCAAAUCUAAAACCUCUAAAGUAAACUGUUUUAAAAAAAAACCACACCAAAUACUAGGUAAUGAGAUCCGGAAGAUGACAGAAUUAAACACUGAAUGGGGGUGGCCAUGAGAAAUGGUUUGCAAGGAACACUGGCUCCCUAACUUCUACACCACAAGAACUGAACUGGACAAGAUGAGGAAAUGUUUUCCGGAAAGUCAAAUUGGGAAGGCUCUUUAAUGGUUGUUGCGAAAGCACUUCUUUUCUCAAACCAGAGCACUUGGACUCCUUUGCACCCUCCCCGCCCCCAUGGAUGUUCCCAAGCGGCGCUUUGUGAUGUCAGCAGUGUCAGGGCUACCAUUGGCUGGAGAAAUUUCUUGCUGACCAAUCAAACGGACAGUUGUGGCUCACCAUUGUCCUGCGACGGUAUAUAUAGAGACGCCAGGCGCCUUGGUGGAGGCCACCGUUGCUACAACAUGGCAGACCUAAUUAAGGAAGUGAAGGAGGAGGAAACAGAAAUCGAGAUAGACGCUUUCAAUCUGCAGCAACAAGCUUCAAGUGCUAACGAAGGAAGAGAAAGAACACUGAUCAGUCCGAUGGCUUGGACAGUCAGAAGAUACGAAAGCCCACGAGGAAGGUAAAAUCAACCCUUCAGCGGAACCCGGGCCGGAAAAAAAAGAAAGGGAAGAGGUCGACGAAUCCAGUCUUCUACCACCACCCGCAGAAUAAAAAGAAGAAUGAAAGUGGGCCA